UACGUAGGGGGCUAGCGUUGUCCGGAAUCAUUGGGCGUAAAGAGCGUGUAGGCGGCUUGGUAAGUCCGCUGUGAAAGUCCAGGGCUCAACCCUGGAAAGCCAGUGGAAACUGUCAAGCUAGAGUCCGGAAGAGGCGAGUGGAACUCCUGGUGUAGCGGUGAAAUGCGCAGAUAUCAGGAAGAACACCGAUGGCGAAGGCAGUGGGCUGGGCCGGCACUGACGCUGAGGAGCGAAAGCGUGGGGAGCGAACAGG
rnacentral:rRNA from 1 species